GAUCAUGGCUCAGAUUGAACGCUGGCGGCAUGCUUUACACAUGCAAGUCGAACGGCAGCGCGGGCUUCGGCCUGGCGGCGAGUGGCGAACGGGUGAGUAAUAUAUCGGAACGUACCCAAGAGUGGGGGAUAACGUAGCGAAAGUUACGCUAAUACCGCAUACGAUCUAAGGAUGAAAGCAGGGGAUCGCAAGACCUUGUGCUCCUGGAGCGGCCGAUAUCUGAUUAGCUAGUUGGUGGGGUAAAGGCCCACCAAGGCAACGAUCAGUAGCUGGUCUGAGAGGACGACCAGCCACACUGGAACUGAGACACGGUCCAGACUCCUACGGGAGGCAGCAGUGGGGAAUUUUGGACAAUGGGGGCAACCCUGAUCCAGCAAUGCCGCGUGAGUGAAGAAGGCCUUCGGGUUGUAAAGCUCUUUUGUCAGGGAAGAAAAGGCUGUGGCUAAUAUCCAUAGCUGCUGACGGUACCUGAAGAAUAAGCACCGGCUAACUACGUG
rnacentral:rRNA from 1 species